rnacentral:rRNA from 1 species
UCCGUAGGUGAACCUGCGGAAGGAUCAUUAAUAAUGCUCUCUGGCUUCGGUCAGUUGAGUUCAAUGAGUGCCUUCUCUUCGGAGUUGGCCAUCCAUACACACCGUGAACUGUGGCUUCGGCCAUCACAAACUGUUAGUAAUGAAUGUAAUAUCAUAACAAAAACAAAACUUUUAACAACGGAUCUCUUGGCUCUCGUAUCGAUGAAGAACACAGCGAAAUGCGAUAAGUAAUGUGAAUUGCAGAAUUCAGUGAAUCAUCGAAUCUUUGAACGCACCUUGCGCCCUUUGGUAUUCCGAAGGGCAUGCCUGUUUGAGUGUCAUGAAACCUCACCCCACUUGGGUUUUUGCCUGAGCGGUGGUGUAUUGGGUGUUGCCUUGCCAAAGGCUCGCCUUAAAAACAUAAGCACCUUGGAUGUAAUACGUUUCAUCCUUCUGGGUGGCUGAUAACCCCACAUAUUCAUGAUCUGGCUUCAAAUCAGGUAGGGCUACCCGCUGAACUUAAGCAUAUCAAUAAGCGGAGGAAAAGAAACUAACAAGGAUUCCCCUAGUAACGGCGAGUGAAGCGGGAAGAGCUCAAAUUUGAAAUCUGGCAGUCUUCGAUUGUCCGAGUUGUAAUCUAUAGAGGCGUUUUCCGUGCUGGACCGUGUACAAGUCUCCUG